GCCCGUCCCUGCUCCCCGCACCAGGUUAGUGGUGCGUGUCCCCAGUCCUGUCCGGCCCGUUCCUGCUCCCCGCACCAGGUUAGUGGUGCGUGUCCCCAGUCCUGUCCGGCCCGUCCCUGCUCCCCGCACCAGGUUAGUGGUGCGUGUCCCCAGUCCUGUCCGGCCCGUCCCUGUUCCCCGCACCAGGUUAGUGGUGCGUGUCCCCAGUCCUGUCCGGCCCGUCCCUGCUCCCCGCACCAGGUUAGUGGUGCGUGUCCCCAGUCCUGUCCGGCCCGUCCCUGUUCCCCGCACCAGGUUGGUGGUGCGUGUCCCCAGUCCGGCCCGGCCCGUUCCUGCUCCCCGCACCAAGUCAGUGGUGCGUGUCCCCAGUCCUGUCCGGCCCGUCCCUGCUCCCCGCACCAAG
rnacentral:lncRNA from 1 species